rnacentral:rRNA from 1 species
GGGGAAUUUUGGACAAUGGGCGAAAGCCUGAUCCAGCAAUGCCGCGUGCAGGAUGAAGGCCUUCGGGUUGUAACUUCCUUUGUACGGAACGAAAAAGCCCCUUCUCAUACAGGGGGCCCAUGACGGUACCGUUAGAAUAAGCACCGGGUAAACACGUGCCAGCAGCCGGGUAAUACGUAGGGUGCGAGCGUUAAUCGGAAUUACUGGGCGUAAAGCGUGCGCAGGCGGUUAUGUAAGACAGAUGUGAAAUCCCCGGGCUCAACCUGGGAACUGCAUUUGUGACUGCAUGGCUAGAGUACGGUAGAGGGGGAUGGAAUUCCGCGUGUAGCAGUGAAAUGCGUAGAUAUGCGGAGGAACACCGAUGGCGAAGGCAAUCCCCUGGACCUGUACUGACGCUCAUGCACGAAAGCGUGGGGAGCAAACA